UCCAGACUCCUACGGGAGGCAGCAGUGAGGAAUAUUGGUCAAUGGGCGGGAGCCUGAACCAGCCAAGCCGCGUGAGGGAAGAAGGUACAGCGUAUCGUAAACCUCUUUUGUCAGGGAACAAAGGCGGGGACUAGUCCCCGGAUGAGGGUACCUGAAGAAAAAGCAUCGGCUAACUCCGUGCCAGCAGCCGCGGUAAUACGGAGGAUGCGAGCGUUAUCCGGAUUUAUUGGGUUUAAAGGGUGCGUAGGCGGCUCUUUAAGUCAGUGGUAAAGUGGGGGGCCUCACCCCCUUCCCGCCAUUGAAACUGGCGCUCUUGAGUGGAAGAGAAGUAUGCGGAAUGCGUGGUGUAGCGGUGAAAUGCAUAGAUAUCACGCAGAACCCCGAUUGCGAAGGCAGCAUGCCGGCUUCCGACUGACGCUGAAGCACGAAAGCGUGGGGAUCGAACAGGAUUAGAUACCCUCGUAU
rnacentral:rRNA from 1 species